rnacentral:rRNA from 1 species
UACGUAGGGUGCAAGCGUUGUCCGGAAUUAUUGGGCGUAAAGAGCUCGUAGGCGGUUUGUCGCGUCUGCUGUGAAAACCCGAGGCUCAACCUCGGGCCUGCAGUGGGUACGGGCAGACUAGAGUGCGGUAGGGGAGAUUGGAAUUCCUGGUGUAGCGGUGGAAUGCGUAGAGAUCCGGAGGAACACCAAAGGCGAAGGCAGUGUCCUGGGGAGUACCUGACGCUCAGGUGCGAAAGCCAGGGGAGCGAACGGG